rnacentral:rRNA from 1 species
AUUGAACGCUGGCGGCAUGCUUUACACAUGCAAGUCGAACGGCAGCGCGGGCUUCGGCCUGGCGGCGAGUGGCGAACGGGUGAGUAAUGCAUCGGAACGUGCCCAGUAGUGGGGGAUAGCCCGGCGAAAGCCGGAUUAAUACCGCAUACGACCUGAGGGUGAAAGCGGGGGACCGGAAGGCCUCGCGCUAUUGGAGCGGCCGAUGUCGGGUUAGCGAGGUGGUGGGGUAAAGGCUUACCAAGGCGACGAUCCGUAGCUGGUCUGAGAGGACGACCAGCCACACUGGGACUGAGACACGGCCCAGACUCCUACGGGAGGCAGCAGUGGGGAAUUUUGGACAAUGGGGGCAACCCUGAUCCAGCCAUGCCGCGUGCGGGAAGAAGGCCUUCGGGUUGUAAACCGCUUUUGUUCGGGAAGAAAUCCUCUGGGCUAAUACCCCGUGGGGAUGACGUUACCGGAAGAAUAAGCACCGGCUAACUACGUG